AUAUCCUUCCGAAAGGAGGGGCAAUACCGAAUAUUGUCCGGAGCCGUGAAGGGUUCCGGGGAAAGGGAGGCCUCUGAUACAAGCUUUCGCCUUAAGAUGAGCCCAUGGCCCAUCAGCUAGUUGGUAGGGUAAAGGCCUACCAAGGCUACCGACGGGUCGCUGGUCUGAGAGGACGACCAGCCACACUGGCACUGAGAUACGGGCCAGACUCCUACGGGAGGCAGCAGUGAGGAAUAUUGCGCAAUGGGGGAAACCCUGACGCAGCAACGCCGCGUGUGGGAAGAAGGCCUUCGGGUCGUAAACCACUUUUGCACGGGACGAAAAAGGGAUAUCGAACAAAUAUCCCCGAUGACGGUACCGUGAGAAUAAGCCACGGCUAACUCUGUGCCAGCAGCCGCGGUAAGACAGAGGUGGCAAGCGUUGUUCGGAAUUAC
rnacentral:rRNA from 1 species